UUUCGUGUGAUGAUGAACAUAA
rnacentral:siRNA from 1 species